rnacentral:rRNA from 1 species
GACGAACGCUGGCGGCGUGCCUAAUACAUGCAAGUUGAGCGCUGAAGGUUGGUACUUGUACCAACUGGAUGAGCAGCGAACGGGUGAGUAACGCGUGGGGAAUCUGCCUUUGAGCGGGGGACAACAUUUGGAAACGAAUGCUAAUACCGCAUAAAAACUUUAAACACAAGUUUUAAGUUUGAAAGAUGCAAUUGCAUCACUCAAAGAUGAUCCCGCGUUGUAUUAGCUAGUUGGUGAGGUAAAGGCGCACCAAGGCGAUGAUACAUAGCCGACCUGAGAGGGUGGUCGGCCACAUUGGGACUGUGACACGGCCCAAACUCCUACGGGAGGCAGCAGUAGGGAAUCUUCGGCAAUGGACGAAAGUCUGACCGAGCAACGCCGCGUGAGUGAAGAAGGUUUUCGGAUCGUAAAACUCUGUUGGUAGGGAAGAACGUUGGUGAGAGUGGAAAGCUCAUCAAGUGACGGUAACUACCCAGAAAGGGACGGCUAACUACGUG